AAAUACGACAGAGACGGGAAAAGGGUUACAUUCUUUCCUUCGUCUCUAUCAUUCUGCAUUAUCCCUAUAGCCGCUGCUCUAUCCCCAACCGGCCUUUACCCAAUUUCAGUUGCUGAGAUUUCUCCGGUCCUACUGCAAUGCUGAUCAUCAGGAAUGAAACUCUAUUCAUAGCGAGCAUUGGUUGUGCCUAUGUCACGGUCAAACUUGGAUUCAUGGCUUAUGAGAAGUGGUCUGGGCGAGAUAAACGGUCCAGGUUGGAGGGCCUGUACGAUGGGACUAGCAAAGGGAAAAGGGAUUAGCUGUUUGUCUAGGUUGCUAAUGGGGCGAUGAACUGAGAUUGACAUUCUGAUACUAGUAGUGAAAGUGGUGGUUUUGUUGGCAUAGAUAUGUAUGUUGGUUGGUUGGUUGUGGCUUUAAAGACCUCCUUUUUAUUUUUAACAUAAUCAUCUGUGUGAAUUUCUGGGUUCCUUUCCCCUGUUUUUGA